UUAUUACUAGCAUCUCAGUCGAAACAUUUUUCUCUAUGGAAGGGACGUUUGAGCGAGAGGAGCACCCAAGAGAUAUGUAUUGUCAUUUAUAUGUUGAGUUGUAUCACAACGCUUUUCCUGAAUUUGUGAGACUGAAAGUGGAGUAGUCUGCAUGAUCUAAGACUGAAAAUGUUUCCUAAGGCCUAAUGUGAUUGAAAUUGUGUGUUCUCUGCAUGAUUUGUGGCUGAAAAAUACAAAAAUGAGUGAAAUCAGAAAUCUAAAGAUGAUCCAAGAAUGAAAAAUGUCCUAGUAGAAUUCAAGAAAACCUACUACAAAUGUGGAGCAAAUAAACAAUUGUCUCCACAAAUGAGUGGAUCAUCUUGCUGAUAGAAUUUAAGCAGGAAUUCAUUUGGUUCUAAAAAUAUUUAUUCUUCAAAUUCAGUAUCCAUUAGGAGAAAAGCUGAGUUGAGAGACGUUUUCUGCAUGAAAUAUAUAAGAUGCAAAUGACAAACAUAAAUUCAGGAAAAGGAGACGAGAAGAAUAAUCCUAAAUCAGAAACUGUUAUGAAAGGCAGUUCCACAGCAAAAACUCAAACCCUAUCAUAUAUAGAAACAUGUCAAGUAAAAUUUGCAAAGCACUUAAAAAUGGACAAAAUAUUUAAUGACAAAACUAAAAAUAUAAAGAAACAUUAACAGAUUUGCUAUAUAUUAAUGCCUUGUUUACAAGUUAUAUGAAAUAAAUCUUAGGAAGAUCACAUAUUAGUCUAUAAAUUAAGAAAUAACGGAUGUAAUUAUGACACAAUACUUAAAAACAGACUAUAAAAAACAAU